rnacentral:rRNA from 1 species
AGUGAACGCUGGCGGUAGGCCUAACACAUGCAAGUCGAACGGCAGCACAGUAAGAGCUUGCUCUUACGGGUGGCGAGUGGCGGACGGGUGAGGAAUACAUCGGAAUCUACUUUUUCGUGGGGGAUAACGUAGGGAAACUUACGCUAAUACCGCAUACGACCUACGGGUGAAAGCAGGGGAUCUUCGGACCUUGCGCGAUUGAAUGAGCCGAUGUCGGAUUAGCUAGUUGGCGUGGUAAAGGCCCACCAAGGCGAGGCUCCGUAGCAGGGCUGAGAGGAUGAUCAGCCACACUGGAACUGAGACACGGUCCAGACUCCUAAGGGAGGCAGCAGUGGGGAAUAUUGGACAAUGGGCGCAAGCCUGAUCCAGCCAUACCGCGUGGGUGAAGAAGGCCUUCGGGUUGUAAAGCCCUUUUGUUGGGAAAGAAAAGCAGCAGGUUAAUACCCCGCUGUUCUGACGGUACCCAAAGAAUAAGCACCGGCUAACUUCGUG